UUUCUUCCAUCCCUCUUCUCCCAGGCGGCGGCGGCCAACAGGAGGUGGAGUCGCACAAGCGCGGGAGCCAAGAUCCCGUCAGCCUCCUCCCAGAUCGACCGCUCUCCUUUCUGGUGGAGGCAGAUCCAUCUCCACCCACACCCAUUCCCGUCCAUCUCUCCACUUCAAUCCGUCCAUCCCAAAUCAGCAGCAGCGGUAGGUCAGCAGCGGCGGCGGCGCCGGCGGUCAAGUCGUCCAACAUGUCGGAGUUGGUGAUGAUGCGCCGGCAAGAGCUGCAGCACCACGGACGGAAGCAGCACACCAGGAAUAUUUGUAGAAAUCGACAUUAAUGGGACAUGGACUGUGUAACCUAAAGACUAUUAUGAUGUAGUUACUGGACUGUGCAAGUAGUAUUAUUGUUCUUCACUUCUUAUCUCUGAUUCUUGUAUCAGUGGCGGAGCCAGGAUAUUAGAGUAGAGUAUUCCCAUCUUCCAACAAGUAAAAAAGUCCACAUGAACAGUAAAAUGUUCACAAUAUAGUAUUUAGAAAAUAAAGGUAUAAAGCUGUUCAAUCCUAAUAUAUUCAUGAAACAAAUGGAAUUAGGGAAGUUCUUACAAAAUACAUAAAGAAAAUUACAAAUUCUUUAACUUCA